UCGUCUCUCAUUUCCAGAACCAGAAACGACAUCCAUCUAACUUGACACGUUCGAAAAAAUCAUAGAGGCUUCAAGAGGAAAACAAAUCGUUAUGUCUUGAUUAUGGCGGUACUCUUUUUUCAAUCAUCUCUGAUCCAGACAGAGUUCAGCAAGAUGAGAAGAGCGGUGAAAAAAAAUGCCAAGUGUUAGUUACUGGUAGAUGCAUAGAUAAGGUUUAUAGUUUUGUCAAGCAAGCAGAACUGUAUUAUGCUGGAAGCCAUGUGAUGGAUAUUAAAGAUCCAACAAAAGGAUAGACCAUCUGUUUUUAAUCAACCAACUGGCGAUUUUCUUCCCAUGAUCGAUGAGGUAAACAAAACUUUGUAUGCUUUGUUCUUCUAUCUCUAUUUACAUGAUUAAUGAUUUAUUCUAUUUUUUUGCAACACAUGACUGAUCAUUUAAUAGAGUCUUCAAAAUUUCCGAGUUGUGUAUGUCCAUUCUGCGUGACCAACCUCAUGGUGAAUGCUCUCUAGGAGCUUCCUAAGGUCAUAAAUUAUUUUUUAUUUUUGAAAAAAAGUCAUAAAUUAUUUUUCUCUACUUAAUUGGACUUGGUUUGCUGACUGUGGAUUAGGAAUUUUGAUCGUUUUAGGUUUACGUUUUCUCAACUGAAUUGUGUAAGAUUUUUGUUUUCUUUUGUGUGGUUAAAGUAGGAGGUGCUUACAGAUUUUUAUGAUAAAUGUUGAUAAUCUAAAGGUUAUGAUGUUUACUGAACUCAUUGGCAGAGGAUGUAAUGUUCUUUUGUGUAUUGGAUCUAUGACGCCUUUUCUGAUUUGUUGGCCAGUCGUUGAGACUAAAAUAUAAUUAUAAAUUUUUUAAUGAUUUUGAUAUUUGCUGAUCUUAUAAUUUUUUUUAUUUCAUAUAUUAGGCUGAGAGAUAAGACGGAAGGAGAGCGAGGAUUCUCCUAUGGUUGUGGAUCAUAAAAUUACUAAUAAUUCAAAGAAAACUAAUGUAAAAAAAUA